rnacentral:rRNA from 1 species
UACGUAGGGGGCAAGCGUUGUCCGGAUUUAUUGGGCGUAAAGAGCGUGUAGGCGGUUUGGUAGGUCCGCUGUGAAAACUCGAGGCUCAACCUCGAGACGUCGGUUGAAACCAUCUGGCUAGAGUCCGGAAGAGGAGUGUGGAAUUCCCGGUGUAGCGGUGAAAUGCGCAGAUAUCAGGAAGAACACCCGUGGCGAAAGCGGCUCUCUGGAACGGUACUGACGCUGAGACGCGAAAGCGUGGGGAGCGAACAGG